rnacentral:lncRNA from 1 species
UCGCGCCAGGCCAAGACUGUCUCAAAAAAAAAAAAAAAAAAAUCUAGGCUUCCUUAUUAAUAUCUGAACAAAUAAUUACAUAUUUGCUUCUUUCCAAAUUUGGCAGCAACUAAACUUAAAAAUUUUUUUAAGUACAUUUGCUUUUGCAGUUAGCCUGGCCUCCAGAGCUCUUGGACUGCAGCACCCAUAAUGAUGGCCAAAGCCGCCCCCACGGCGACUCCUCCUGCUGAAGCAAAGUCAGGCAGAACAAUAAGAUGAGCAUGGUGGUGCAGGCCUGUAAUCUCAGCUCCUCAGGCGGGAGGAUCACUUGAUCCCCGGAAGUUUGAAGCUGGACUGCGCUGACCGCACCUGUGAAUACCACUGCCCGUCAAUCAGCCUAGGGGAAACAUUCUCGAGUGCGAGCAUGACGGCUUAGGUUGAUGUUUUUCAAAUUUUCCCAAUGAUGAGUAUUGUAAGGGACCAAAAUAAAAAAAUGCCAAUGCCUA